AAUAUUAUUACAUAUGUCUCCCGUAAUAUUGGGAAGAACGACAUACCAAAUCAAUCACUCGGAAGUUAUAAACUUCAACAAAAGGAAACAACUUAAAAGGUAAAAGGAAUAAACAUGACAAUGUAAUGCAGGGCUGGCCGUUGGGUGAGAACCAUUAAUAAUGUCGUCGCUCGGUCAUGAUGAAGGAACAGAUGGGGAGGUACUACAUAAUAUAAUCAUGCUUGUUUCGUUGUUUGAAUAUAAGCGACGACUUUAUCAAGGAAUACCUCGGCCUCCUUAGCAUCAGCUUCGCAACUUUCUGCACACUUCUUGCUUGUGGCGGGAUCCUCCUUAUAUACUGCAUUACACUCAUUGUUGCAAAAAUCUAUGAAUCUAUCCGCCUUUAGAUCCUUCACUCCCUUAUGGGCCUCAAAUAUAGACUUGGUCUUGAUGAAGCAGAAGUCUUCACAUUGUUUCUCGUCGAUGGGGGCUUUCUUUUUCUGCUCACUGCAUUCCUCUUUGCACCCAGCUCUCACUGCCUCCUCUAGCGUCUCUGGCUCCUUUCCCAUGACCGCCACAAGGGUGGCAAGGAGCAGGGCCACCGCAAUGGUCUUGUUCUGGGCCAUUAGCGCUGUUUUUCUUGAGUGUAAUUGGUGUGGAACAAAGAUGACUUCCCUUGCCCUGAUGUCCCUAUUAUAUAGUGCAUGGAUGAGAGUAAAGGAGCUAUAUAAAUAUGUGGCGGAGAGAGCUUCAUGGGCCACCAAUGAUGCUAAUUAUAGGCAUGAAUAUUCUAUUGAUUGCUGGAGAACCAUUCCUUCCUUAUGACAGGGAGUGAUGCGGUUCUCAUGGCAUCCAUGCGUUCAAAUAAUAUCGGAAAAUAGCAAUGUUGUCCGUUGGUACCAUUGACCACCUUUUUUACAUACUUGCUCUCACUGACCAGUGGGCCCUAUGUGUUUAAAAUCUGGAAAAAAAAUUAUAAGGAAAAUGACUAGAGAAGAUAUUUUACAAUUGAAAACUUGCCCAAACUUUUAAAAUACAUAUAAAAUCCAUUUUAUCUCAUUUUUAGAUGAAUCAAAUUUCUGUAAACUCACCGAAUUAUGCACUUUAAUUUAGAAACAUGAAACUUGGCACUUACAGUAGAAGAAAUAGCUCUAAUAAUUCAUAUAAGAAAACAAUGAACAUAGAGCAACCUCCAACUUAUAAAAUUUAUAGAAAAUUCACCUUGACUCUUUUUGAAGUGAAUUAAGUUCCAGCAUGUUCAAAAAAUAAUACUCACGUUUUUCAUGAACUAAAACUUAAUACUCUCUGUAAUAAAAAUGUCACCAAAUGUUUAUUUAGUAAAAUUUACUACUAUAGUGCAAACUAGAGACUAUAAAAUCCAUAAGUAAUUCAUUUUAACUCUAAAUGGGCAAAACUAAAAUUUGUUAGUUUAAUAGAAGCAUGUACAUUAGUUCUGUAUAAACAAGUCUUAGAAGAAAACAUAUCCAGAAACAUCACUAAAAUUUGAAUAAAGAGUUAAUAUUAAAGAACGGUAUAGAAACUUCUAAAAUUCAUAUAAAAUAGAAUAUAACUCCAAAUGAAGUAAUAUCAGAUUUAUUAGGUUGGAAAAUUCAUCAACUUAGUUACUAUAAAAUAAAAUAUGACACUUACAGUACCCAAAACAUAUCUAAAAUUCGAAAUAACUAAUAAAGACUAUAGCAUAUGACCUAGCUUGUAAAAUUCAUAAUAAAAUCAUGCUAACUUUAAAAAUUGUGAAACCAACCUUGUCGAACUCCUGUGAACAUCCCCUUCACUGCAGCAAGCCAACAUUUCACGAAAAUUUGACCCUAAAAUGCAUCUAAGGACUAUUAGAGCUUAAUUAAUCUAGUGCUAGUAUUAAACUUUGAAAAUCUAUAACCUUUUAAUGCAAAGUGAUAAAACAUAAAUUCUUACACCUAAAUUCAUCUUAGACCAGAACCUAACCACACAAGUAAACUCAUGCAUUUUAGAGCAUUAUAGAUUUUUACAUAUUUUGGUAUUUUAUUCGUUACCUUUAUUUCUUUUAGACGGCAAAAUCUUUAUCAGUGAGGUGAUUGAUCUUAUAGCUGAUCUCAGGGAGGUCUUAUAUCAACCAAGGCAAGUGUUGCCCUUCCUUUGAACAUAUCGAAUCCUAUGUUUUCGGGCUAAAUGUUUUGAUUGUAAUUUUGCACGCGUAUUUCUAACUAUCGGUACUUCCAAACUAUAGAUUGUAGUUAUCCCGUAAAAAGAUGCAUAACUCCCCUUUUGAAAAUCACUUCCUUGUUGUUUUGAACCUUAGGAUUAAUUAGAGUACUUUAGUUGUGCUCAUAUGACAAUACUAUGCUUUUAUAAAGUGCAAAUGCUUAGCCUUGCUUAGUGAUAAAUAAAAACAUGGUUAUGGUUCACCAACUAUACUUUUUGCAAACCUUUUUGAACAUUAUGGGCAGAGGUGAUUCCCUGAUUAUUUAUGAAAUAAAAUGUGAUUUUAGACUUGGGCGGCAAGUGGUAUGCAUAUGGUAGUAGUUGCAUACCGAUAGGGGGAGUGUUCGCCUGAGUCGAUUAAGGACCGAACAUCAUAUCACCCAUUAUGUUUACCAUACAUCCACAUGUGCUAGUAUGGGAUGGCCUUAGCUAAUUAAACUAUUUAGAACUAUCCUUGCAUUCUGGUAGGCCGGUGUGUAUGAGUUCGAAUAAUUCAGAGGAGCUUCCUAUUUACCCCAAUGUGGUAGUUUAGGUGACUAAGCGUGUCCAAUACAACGGUAUUGUGCCACGUGGUGGGUUCCCGUAGUGUCCGCCACCACGGCGUUAAGUUUAAGGCGUGGGUCCGCCACUUAACGGUUCUAGACAUAUUCCAAGUAUGCCUAGGAUGGAGGAACACGUAUCGUGCUGGUGCAAGGCUAGACUCUAAGUAGGUUAAAGGCUUCGUUGUGAUCUCUAGACCGUACUCAAUGUGUAGAGUAUGGUGGUACCGACAGGUACCGAACAAACUAGAGCGAUUCACAUCAUGUGGGUAAAGCUAUACAAACUCUGCAGAGUCCUAAAAACUAAUCGAUUAGCUGUGCUCAUGAUCAUGAGCGACAUGAUGAUGUGCUAUGGGUAUAAUCUUGUGAUUUCUAAAUGCUUUUGAAACUGAAUGUUUUGAGAUGAUGAUGAGAUUGGUAUGUGUGAUAUGAUUGCCUUACUUCCCGUUGAGUUGUAAGGGAAUGAUGUCUAUCUAUUUGUGUUGAUAUCAUGCCAUAAUUAAUAUGCUUUCACAUUGCUUAAAUUACGUUGCAAAUGGUUUGUGAACUAAAAUUGGCCUUAUGCUGAAAAUUGGGACUACAAAUAGCCUUCCUUUGACUUAGAGCUUUCAUGUAUGUAGGUUUGAUAGUGCUCUUGCCAGUACAUUAAUUUGAUUAAUGUACUGACUCUUGCCAUUUGUUGUCUAAUUUAUGUUUUGCGGGAAUAGACUUAGUUUAUUUUGAGUGAUGCGGGUUUCGACUGCUUCUUCUAGGAUUUGAACUUAAUGGGGUAAACCCCUAGUCGGUGUGCUUGAGGAUUGGGUAGUCAAGCUUCCGUUGUUCUCUGAUAUAGCUAUAUUUGGCUGGUCGGCCCAUGUAUCUAUUAAGUAGUUUAAUCUGAAUUUUAUUUGCUUUAGAUGUAUUUUGCUAUGUAUAUUCAUGCUUAAGAUGAAAGUGUGAAUCUAGUGCACAUCCUGGGAACUAGAUUCACGUGAGUAUGAGUUAAAGAAUAUUUGAGAUGUUGUAGAUCUUUAGCCAUUUUGUCAAGUCUCCUGAAUGUGUAACACAUCUGGUCGCCGCCUUCGAGUGGUUUGAUGGGCACAUCUCGGGCUAAAGUUGACUGGCGGGCUAAAGGUCCAGCAAUGUCUCCAAUAUUCUUCUCUCGAGGCGUCGGAUAUUUCAUUAUUUUUGUUUGAUGACUUGAAUUAUUCACUUCAUCUCUCAAAUAUAAUGGGAGGUCCGGAGAGCCUACGACACAGAAAAAACAUAAACGACUUAUAAAUGGUCCCGGCUUCCUGCCACCACGACAUCGUCGAAGCCGCCUCGUCAAUAGUGGAAUCAGCCAUUAAUCAGUGCUAAAAGCCCAAACACCUCUGGAUUUAUUUAAUCAUCAAUUGAAAUAUUAUUACAUAUGUCUCCCGUAAUAUUGGGAAGAACGACAUACCAAAUCAAUCACUCGGAAGUUAUAAACUUCAACAAAAGGAAACAACUUAAAAGGUAAAAGGAAUAAACAUGACAAUGUAAUGCAGGGCUGGCCGUUGGGUGAGAACCAUUAAUAAUGUCGUCGCUCGGUCAUGAUGAAGGAACAGAUGGGGAGGUACUACAUAAUAUAAUCAUGCUUGUUUCGUUGUUUGAAUAUAAGCGACGACUUUAUCAAGGAAUACCUCGGCCUCCUUAGCAUCAGCUUCGCAACUUUC
rnacentral:lncRNA from 1 species